rnacentral:rRNA from 1 species
GUCCACGCCCUAACGAUGUCAACUGGUUGUUGGGUCUUACUGACUCAGUAACGAAGCUAACGCGUGAAGUUGACCGCCUGGGAGUACGGCCGCAAGGUUGAACUCAAAGGAAUUGACGGGACCCGCACAAGCGGUGGAUGAUGUGGUUUAAUUCGAUGCAACGCGAAACCUUACCCACCUUUGACAUGGUCGGAACCCUUUAGAGAUAGAGGGGUGCUCGAAAGAGAGCCGAUACACAGGUGCUGCAUGGCUGUCGU